rnacentral:rRNA from 1 species
ACGGGUGAGUAACACGUGGGUAAUCUGCCCUCGAUUCUGGGAUAGCCCGGGGAAACCCGGAUUAAUACCGGAUAGCCUCUCGAGCUUUCGAGCUCGUGAGAAAAGGUAGCUUCGGCCUCCGAUCGAGGAUGAGCCCGCGGCGGAUUAGCUUGUUGGUGGGGUAAUGGCCUACCAAGGCGACGAUCCGUAGCUGGUCUGAGAGGACGAUCAGCCACACUGGGACUGAGACACGGCCCAGACUCCUACGGGAGGCAGCAGUGGGGAAUCUUGCGCAAUGGGCGAAAGCCUGACGCAGCGACGCCGCGUGGGGGAAGAAGGCCUUCGGGUUGUAAACCUCUUUCAGCAGGGACGAAGCCACUCGGGUGAAUAGCCCAGAGGGUGACGGUACCUGCAGAAGAAGCCCCGGCUAACUACGUGCCAGCAGCCGCGGUAAUACGUAGGGGGCAAGCGUUGUCCGGAUUUAUUGGGCGUAAAGAGCGUGUAGGCGGCCAGACAGGUCCGUUGUGAAAACUAGAGGCUUAACCUCUAGACGUCGAUGGAAACCGUUUGGCUAGAGUCCGGAAGAGGAGAAUGGAAUUCCUGGUGU